GGUUCUAUAGCUUUCUUCACUCAUCAGAACCCACCAUCAACGUUCGUCAUCAUCAUCGGGGCUUAUGGAUGGAGCGAACACAAGACUUGAUUUGGUUUGAAACCUGUCGAAUCUAGUGGUGGCGGUGACAAAGGAGUUUUAGGGCUUUCUUGAUGACCUAAGGGUGGCGAUUAGCGGUGGUUUUAAGCUCGAGUAACAGCGGUGACCAAAAAUGCUUAGAUCGGCCACUGCAUUUAAUUAGGGUUCAGGCGGCGGCGUAGGAAAGUAUAUGUCGUAUACUAAGGCAAUGGAGAUAAAAUCGUUUUCUAGCCACGAUCAUGACCGAUAGGCGAAGCAUGGGUCAUUACCAACCAGGUCUGCGACGGUGUCAGGUGUAUGUGCUUAUUUACGGCUAGCUCAGAGUUGAUAGUUGAAACUUGUUACGAAAUUGUGUUAUCAGCUGCAACAUUACUGAAUGCUUUUCAGUGGUGAGUAGUGGCGGUUUAGGGUUCUUACAGGAGUAAGUAAAUCUGUAGCUUUAGAUUAGGAAGACUGAGGCUUGGUUGUGCUUACGAAGCUCUAGCGAUUCAAGAUGAGGAGCUGCUGUAAUAACUUUGUCAGCUGCAGCAAACAUCAGAUCGAAAUUACAUGUUCACAGCUUACUCAAUCAUGAUUAGUUUGAAGGGUUGCAUUUACCAGAAAUCAUUAGUGGAGUGAAUUAUACGGGAUAACGAAAUGCUGGUUGUCCAUCUACCCGAGGAGGGAGCUCUCGGUCUUGAAAACAGCGGCAACGACGUAACUUCUGCGAUCCUUGCAAAGGUGUUUUCCGGCAAAGAGAAGACUAGCAGGUAAUAUGUUGGUUUUUGGUCUACCUGUUAGGUGUUUGGGCUAAUUAUAUAUGUUGGCUUUUUGUCUAAUUCUUUUAAAUCAAGAACAAUGAGUUUCGUUAAUUAAAGAAUUUUAUAUUUUUAAAUUAAUACUAAUACUUGUUUAUAUGGUUGAUGAUGGCUGGGUAGAUAUUAUGAGAAGCUUUGGAGCUAACUUCUAAGACAAUGAAACUAUCACCCAAAGGAACAUUUAGACUUCUCGUGUAAACAUUUAGAAUUUGGAAUAUUUUACUCAUUACACAACGUUUAUGCUAACAUUGGAUGGAACUUAUUACUGAAGUUAUAAUAUUACGAUUUCUAUAUU
rnacentral:lncRNA from 1 species